AGUGAACGCUGGCGGUAGGCCUAACACAUGCAAGUCGAACGGCAGCACAGUAAGAGCUUGCUCUUACGGGUGGCGAGUGGCGGACGGGUGAGGAAUACAUCGGAAUCUACUUUUUCGUGGGGGAUAACGUAGGGAAACUUAUGCUAAUACCGCAUACGACCUACGGGUGAAAGCAGGGGAUCUUCGGACUUUGCGCGAUUGAAUGAGCCGAUGUCGGAUUAGCUAGUUGGCGGGGUAAAGGCCCACCAAGGCGACGAUCCGUAGCUGGUCUGAGAGGAUGAUCAGCCACACUGGAACUGAGACACGGUCCAGACUCCUACGGGAGGCAGCAGUGGGGAAUAUUGGACAAUGGGCGCAAGCCUGAUCCAGCCAGACCGCGUGGGUGAAGAAGGCCUUCGGGUUGUAAAGCCCUUUUGUUGGGAAAGAAAAGCAGCACGUUAAUACCCCGCUGUUCUGACGGUACCCAAAGAAUAAGCACCGGCUAACUUCGUG
rnacentral:rRNA from 1 species